rnacentral:lncRNA from 1 species
UGGAUUUGGAGCCUUAGGUGGCUGGACCAGUAUGAUGUACAUUUCCUCCAUUGUCAUAAAGGUAGACCAUAUGGUCUAGGAAGCAGAGGACAGCUCAGAAACAGAGGAAAACUGAACAUAUGUGCAAAGAAGAGAGGAGAGAUGGGACAGAGAAGACAGACCUCAUCUUUGUUGUUCUUAGGCUCUUUUGGCUACAUCAAAGAUAAAAAGAAAAAAGAAAUCAACACGUUAUUACUGAAGUUUCUCAGAAGAGGGUAAAUGAAGGAAGACAUCAUAAGAGCUGCAGCAAGCUGUUCGUCAGAGUCAUCUUUGGUGACUAUCCGCCUGCAGGCAUUCCUUAGCACUCUGGGUGUAGCCUUCAGUGCUGGGCUUACAAAGAAGACAACACAAAAGUAACCAUG